rnacentral:rRNA from 1 species
UACAGAGGGUGCGAGCGUUGUUCGGAAUUACUGGGCGUAAAGGGCUCGUAGGCGGCCAACUAAGUCAUACGUGAAAUCCCUCAGCUUAACUGGGGAACUGCGUCUGAUACUGGAUGGCUUGAGUUUGGGAGAGGGAUGCGGAAUUCCAGGUGUAGCGGUGAAAUGCGUAGAUAUCUGGAGGAACACCGGUGGCGAAGGCGGCAUCCUGGGCCAACACUGACGCUGAGUGAGCGAAAGCCAGGGGAGCAAACGGG